rnacentral:rRNA from 1 species
AUUGAACGCUGGCGGCAGGCUUAACACAUGCAAGUCGAGCGGGGUGAUGGUGCUUGCACUAUCACUUAGCGGCGGACGGGUGAGUAAUGCUUAGGAAUCUGCCUAUUAGUGGGGGACAACACCUCGAAAGGGAUGCUAAUACCGCAUACGUCCUACGGGAGAAAGCAGGGGAUCACUUGUGACCUUGCGCUAAUAGAUGAGCCUAAGUCGGAUUAGCUAGUUGGUGGGGUAAAGGCCUACCAAGGCGACGAUCUGUAGCGGGUCUGAGAGGAUGAUCCGCAACACUGGGACUGAGGCACGGCCCAGACUCCUACGGGAGGCAGCAGUGGGGAAUAUUGGACAAUGGGGGGAACCCUGAUCCAGCCAUGCCGCGUGUGUGAAGAAGGCCUUAUGGUUGUAAAGCACUUUAAGCGAGGAGGAGGCUCUUUUGGUUAAUACCCAAGAUGAGUGGACGUUACUCGCAGAAUAAGCACCGGCUAACUCUGUGCCAGCCGCCGCAGUAA